rnacentral:rRNA from 1 species
AUUGAACGCUGGCGGCAGGCCUAACACAUGCAAGUCGAACGAGUGGCGGACGGGUGAGUAAUGUCUGGGAAACUGCCUGAUGGAGGGGGAUAACUACUGGACACGGUAGCUAAUACCGCAUACCAUCGGAUGUGCCCAGAUGGGCUUAGCUAGUAGGUGGGGUAAAGGCUCACCUAGGCGACGAUCCCUAGCUGGUCUGAGAGGAUGACCAGCAACACGGGGACUGCGCCAAGGUCCAGCGUCCUACGGGAGGCAGCAGUGGGGAAUAUUGCACAAUGGGCGAAAGCCUGAUGCAGCAAUGCCGCGUGUAUGAAGAAGGCCUGCGGGUUGUAAAGUACUUUCAGCGGGGAGGCGUGACCCGCAGAAGAAGCACCGGCUAACGCCGUGCCAGCAGCAGCGGUAAUAC